GAGUUUGAUCCUGGCUCAGGAUGAACGCUAGCGGCAGGCCUAACACAUGCAAGUCGAGGGGUAGCAGGGUAGCAAUACCGCUGACGACCGGCGCACGGGUGAGUAUCGCGUAUGCAACCUUCCUUUAACUGGGGAAUAGCCCGGAGAAAUUCGGAUUAAUACCCCAUAACAUUCCGGUAACGCAUGUUACUGGGAUUAAAGCUCCGGCGGUUAAAGAUGGGCAUGCGUACCAUUAGCUUGUUGGUAAGGUAACGGCUUACCAAGGCUACGAUGGUUAGGGGGUCUGAGAGGAUGAUCCCCCACACUGGUACUGAGACACGGACCAGACUCCUACGGGAGGCAGCAGUGAGGAAUAUUGGGCAAUGGGCGCAAGCCUGACCCAGCCAUGCCGCGUGAAGGAUGAAUGCCCUAUGGGUUGUAAACUUCUUUUGUACGGGACGAAACUUCCGAUCGUGAUCGGAACUGACUGUACCGUUCGAAUAAGCAUCGGCUAACUCCGUGCCAGCAGCCGCGGUAAUACGGAGGAUGCAAGCGUUAUCCGGAUUCAUUGGGUUUAAAGGGUGCGUAGGCGGAAUAAUAAGUCAGUGGUGAAAGCCUGCGGCUCAACCGUAGAAUUGCCAUUGAUACUGUUAUUCUUGAGUAUAGUUGAGGUGGGCGGAAUGUGUAAUGUAGCGGUGAAAUGCUUAGAUAUUACACAGAACACCAAUUGCGAAGGCAGCUCACUAAACUGUCACUGACGCUGAGGCACGAAAGCGUGGGGAGCAAACAGGAUUAGAUACCCUGGUAGUCCACGCUGUAAACCAUGAUCACUCGUUGUUGGCGAUACACUGUCAGCGACUGAGCGAAAGCAUUAAGUGAUCCACCUGGGGAGUACGGCGGCAACGCUGAAACUCAAAGGAAUUGACGGGGGCCCGCACAAGCGGAGGAACAUGUGGUUUAAUUCGAUGAUACGCGAGGAACCUUACCUGGGCUUGAAAGGGGAACGACCUCCCGGGAAACCGGGAUUCUCUUCGGAGCGAUCUCCUAGGUGCUGCAUGGUUGUCGUCAGCUCGUGCCGUGAGGUGUCGGGUUAAGUCCCAUAACGAGCGCAACCCCUAUUGUUAGUUGCCAGCGGGUAAUGCCGGGAACUCUAACGAAACUGCCGGUGUAAACCGAGAGGAAGGUGGGGAUGACGUCAAAUCAGCACGGCCCUUAUGUCCAGGGCUACACACGUGUUACAAUGGUCGGUACAAAGGGCAGCUACUUGGUGACAAGAUGCUAAUCUCUAAAACCGGUCUCAGUUCGGAUCGAAGUCUGCAACUCGACUUCGUGAAGUUGGAUUCGCUAGUAAUCGCGCAUCAGCAAUGGCGCGGUGAAUACGUUCCCGGGCCUUGUACACACCGCCCGUCAAGCCAUGGAAGCUGGGAGUACCUGAAGUCUGUAACCGCAAGGAGCGGCCUAGGGUAAGACCAGUGACUGGGGCUAAGUCGUAACAAGGUAACCGUA
rnacentral:rRNA from 1 species